rnacentral:misc_RNA from 1 species
AACGCACCUUGCGCCUCUUGGUUUCCCAAGAUGCAUGCCUGUUUGAGUAUCAUGAAAAUAAUCAACACAUUGGACUUUGUUUCUGAUGUUGUUGGAGUUGGGUGUCUGCAGGAGUUUAGCCGACUCCAGCUCAUCCGAAAUGCAUUAGCUGAAGGACUUUCUGAAGUAAAGUUUUCUUCUUUGGCGGGAUAAAUCUAGCUAUUGAGGAGGACUUGUUUUACAACAGAGGGGUUAUAGCCUUUGCUUCUAACAAACUAUUUUUCACAAAGUUUGAUCUCAAAUCAGGUAGGAUUACCCGCUGAACUUAA